GCGAAGCGCGGGGCAGGAGGCGGGGUGAUACGUGGGGUGCAAGCGUUACUCGGAAGAACGGGGGGUAAAGAGCAUGUAGGGGGAUUAAUAAGUUUGAAGUGAAAUCCUAUAGCUUAACUAGAGAACUGCUUUGAAAACUGUUAAUCUAGAAUGUGGGAGAGGUAGAUGGAAUUUCUGGUGUAGGGGUAAAAUCCGUAGAGAUCAGAAGGAAUACCGAUUGCGAAGGCGAUCUACUGGAACAUUAUUGACGCUGAGAUGCGAAAGCGUGGGGAGCAAACAGGAUUAGAUACCCCGGUAGUC
rnacentral:rRNA from 1 species